rnacentral:rRNA from 1 species
GACAGAGGGUGCAAACGUUGUUCGGAAUUACUGGGCGUAAAGCGCGUGCAGGCUGCUCUGUGUGUCGGAUGUGAAAGCCCCGGGCUCAACCUGGGAAGUGCACUCGAAACUACAGAGCUGGAGUCUCGGAGAGGAUCGCGGAAUUCUCGGUGUAGAGGUGAAAUUCGUAGAUAUCGAGAGGAACACCGGUGGCGAAGGCGGCGAUCUGGACGAUGACUGACGCUGAGACGCGAAAGCGUGGGGAGCAAACAGG